rnacentral:rRNA from 1 species
UGACCUCAAAUCAGGUAGGAGUACCCGCUGAACUUAAGCAUAUCAAUAAGCGGAGGAAAAGAAAAUAACAAUGAUUCCCCUAGUAACUGCGAGUGAAGAGGGACAAGCUCAAAUUUUAAAUCUGUUAGGUUUACCUAACCGAGUUGUAAUUUGAAGAGGCGUUUUCUGCGCAGCUUGGUCAGCCCAAGUCCUAUUGAAUGAGGCAUCAUGGAGGGUGAUAAUCCCGUCCGGCUGAUCAUUGCGUUUUACGAUACGCUUUCUAAGAGUCAAGUUGUUUGGGAUUGCAGCUUAAAAUGGGAGGUAAAUUUCUCGUAAGGCUAAAUAUUGGCGAGAGACCGAUAGCGAACAAGUACCGUGAGGGAAAGAUGAAAAGUACUUUGAAAAGAGAGUUAAAUAGCACGUGAAAUUGUUGAAAGGGAAACGAUUGAAGCCAGUCGUACCUGCGGACAAUCAGCCUUUCGGGUGCGAUUAUGUGGAGCGUGGGGAGCUAAACACCUUCAUGCCUGCGUAUUUGUAUUCUGGGGUGUACUUGGACGUGCGGUAGGUUAACAUCAAUUUCGGACGUCAUAAAAUGGCUGGAGGAAUGUAGCUUCGGUCUCGUACUGAAGUGUUAUAGCCUUCGGCAGAUAUGGUGACCGGGAUUGAGGAUUGCAACGGAUACCUUUUGGGCUACCCGCCUGAUCUCUGAAAGUUGCUCUGGUGCCGAAAGCUUGCUUACGGUUAUCAAAGUUGACGUUCAAAAGGUUAGAACGGGUUAAAUUCGUUAAGGAUGUUGACGUAAUGGCUUUAAACGACCCGUCUUGAAACACGGACCAAGGAGUCUAACAUAUAUGCGAGUGUUUGGGUGAUCAAACCCUUACGCGUAAUGAAAGUAAUUUAGGUGGGAACAUUUUUGUGCACCAUCGACCGAUCAGGAUAUUUUUUGAUAGAUUUGAGUAAGAGCAUAUCAGCUAGGACCCGAAAGAUGGUGAACUAUGCCUGAAUAGGGUGAAGCCAGAGGAAACUCUGGU